rnacentral:rRNA from 1 species
UGGGGAAUAUUGGACAAUGGGGGCAACCCUGAUCCAGCAAUGCCGCGUGUGUGAAGAAGGCCUGCGGGUUGUAAAGCACUUUCAAUCGUGAAGAAAAGCUUACGGAUAAUACCUGUAAGUCUUGACGUUAACGAUACAAGAAGCACCGGCUAACUCCGUGCCAGCAGCCGCGGUAAUACGGAGGGUGCGAGCGUUAAUCGGAAUUACUGGGCGUAAAGAGCACGUAGGCGGUUUGGUCAGUCGGAUGUGAAAGCCCCGGGCUUAACCUGGGAAUUGCAUUCGAUACUGCCAAGCUAGAGUUUAGUAGAGGAAUGCGGAAUUCCGGGUGUAGCGGUGAAAUGCGUAGAGAUCCGGAGGAACAUCAGUGGCGAAGGCGGCAUUCUGGGCUAAAACUGACGCUGAGGUGCGAAAGCGUGGGGAGCAAACAGGAUUAGAUACCCCCGUAGUCC